GACGAACGCUGGCGGCGUGCCUAAUACAUGCAAGUCGAGCGGACUGAAUGGGAGCUUGCUCUUGUUCGGUCAGCGGCGGACGGGUGAGUAACACGUGGGCAACCUGCCCGCAAGACCGGGAUAACUCCGGGAAACCGGAGCUAAUACCGGAUAACACCGAAGACCGCAUGGUCUUUGGUUGAAAGGCGGCGCAAGCUGCCACUUGCGGAUGGGCCCGCGGCGCAUUAGCUAGUUGGUGAGGUAACGGCUCACCAAGGCGACGAUGCGUAGCCGGCCUGAGAGGGUGGCCGGCCACACUGGGACUGAGACACGGCCCAGACUCCUACGGGAGGCAGCAGUAGGGAAUCUUCCGCAAUGGGCGAAAGCCUGACGGAGCGACGCCGCGUGAGCGAAGAAGGCCUUCGGGUCGUAAAGCUCUGUUGUGAGGGACGAAGGAGCGCCGUUUGAAGAAGGCGGCGCGGUGACGGUACCUCACGAGGAAGCCCCGGCUAACUACGUG
rnacentral:rRNA from 1 species